AUUACGGGGUGCAGCAGGCGCGAAAACUUUACAAUGCGGGAAACCGUGAUAAGGUAACUCCGAGUGCCCGUAAAAUCGGGCUGUCCAUCUGUUUAAAUAACAGGUGAAGAAAGGGCCGGGCAAGACCGGUGCCAGCCGCCGCGGUAAUACCGGCGGCUCGAGUGGUGGCCACUAUUACUGGGCUUAAAGCGUUCGUAGCUGGUCUGUUAAGUCUCUGGGGAAAUCUACUGGCUUAACCAAUAGGCGUCUCAGGGAUACUGGCAGACUAGGGACCGGGAGAGGUGAGAGGUACUCCAGGGGUAGGAGUGAAAUCCUGUAAUCCUUGGGGGACCACCUGUGGCGAAGGCGUCUCACCAGGACGGCUCCGACAGUGAGGGACGAAAGCUGGGGGAGCAAACCGGAUUAGAUACCCGGGUAGUCCCAGCCGUAAAUGAUGUGCGUUAGGUGUAUCGGUGACCACGAGUCACCGAGGUGCCGAAGGGAAACCGUGAAACGUGCCGCCUGGGAAGUACGGUCGCAAGGCUGAAACUUAAAGGAAUUGGCGGGGGAGCACAAU
rnacentral:rRNA from 1 species